rnacentral:rRNA from 1 species
GCGGUGGAGCAUGUGGUUUAUUCGAUGCAACGCGAAGAACCUUACCUACUCUUGACAUCCAGAGAACUUUCCAGAGAUGGAUUGGUGCCUUCGGGAACUCUGAGACAGGUGCUGCAUGGCUGUCGUCAGCUCGUGUUGUGAAAUGUUGGGUUAAGUCCCGCAACGAGCGCAACCCUUAUCCUUGUUUGCCAGCGAGUAAUGUCGGGAACUCCAGGGAGACUGCCGGUGAUAAACCGGAGGAAGGUGGGGACGACGUCAAGUCAUCAUGGCCCUUACGAGUAGGGCUACACACGUGCUACAAUGGCGCAUACAGAGGGCGGCCAACUUGCGAAAGUGAGCGAAUCCCAAAAAGUGCGUCGUAGUCCGGAUUGGAGUCUGCAACUCGACUCCAUGAAGUCGGAAUCGCUAGUAAUCGUGGAUCAGAAUGCCACGGUGAAUACGUUCCCGGGCCUUGUACACACCGCCCCGUCACA